GGGGGCUGGCUGGGUGCUGGGAGACUCUCUCUCUCCCCCUACACGUUACUCCCACCUCUUGGUGCAAACGCCACUAACCCUAAAAGCCCUCGGGUUUGCCUUUGCCUUGAGCGAGGGUCCGCAGCAGGCAGGUUAUUAGAUGGCUCCAGGUGGUCAGCAUAAUUCAACCUGCAUAACAUAAAAUUCUCUACGGGACAUGUAGAAUAUUAAACAAAAUGCAGCAGUCACUCUCGAACCCCACCCUGCAACCUUCUGCUUUGGAAAAUCCUAGAGAGCAGUCCAAGUAAAUGCAACAAAUGAAGAGAAAAAUAUGCUUUGUCACUUUAAAUCACUGAUUCUUUUUGGCCCAUCCUCCCCUUUUAGAGGAAACUGGAAGGAUCUCCAACACGCAUUUUCAUACCAGGUACAUGAGGCUGCUGCAUUUUAAUACGCUUAUUUUCAAGUAGACCUAAAGAAUGCAAGUGUCUUAGGGCCUUAUGACCAGUAACAAAACUACAUGUACCAUGUUGGCCACACUGGAAGCCUGUUCCUAAAGACGCUGCUUGUGUUUAUAAAGUCUUUUGAGGUGAGGGUUGCACAGUAGAAAAACAUAACAGAAAUUUAACAAAGGCCACACUAAAAAAUGUGAAAACAAAACAAAAAAAAGUAAUUCUCCCACAGGAACCAAAAGGCAUUUCAUACAUGUCCAGUGAGACAUUAAAAAUAAUUAUGUGGAAAAGUAAUAGCUCCCUUGGUUGUUUUAAUGUAUUUUUGUCUACAACCAAGAAAACUGCUGUCUUGGCUUUGCUUGAAAAGUCUCUCAAACAAAAGCCCUUCAAAUGACCCUCGGAUUAUUAAACAGCAGUAACAAUGAACAUGUAUCUCAGUUUAAAAAGUAGGUCAAACCAAAAAGACUGACAGUUUGGAUCUUGGAAAUAGCCUUCAAUGAAAUGUACAGGGUUAUUUUUCCUCAAUUUUCAGAGUCCCGUCUCUGAAAACAAAAAUGCAUAAGAAAAAUCUAUAUCGUUCUCUUAUCGGAAGGGAAAUCAGGUAGAGUUACAUUUUUAUUUUCUCUCUCCCACUAUAUCUUUGUUUCUGGUAUUAACAUAUUUAUUAGAUAUGGGUCCAAUUCCAAAGAUUGGAUUUGGUUCCUAAUUUAAACUUCUCCAAUGUUCACAGAGGACAGUUCGGAUCAUGAAGGUUGUUUUUGGCUUCAUUUCCCAUAUGAUUUCCUCAGAAACUAGCUAGAGAUCAUUAAUAUUAUGGAAGAGAUUAAAAAAAAAUAGACAAAUAAAACCAAAAUCAACCAAACACAAACUGCCAAUAGUGCCAAAACAUGAAGCCAAAACUCCAGAUACACAGGUGUUGAGAUGUUCAGUAACAUCCACUCAUGUAAAUGCCAUAGCAGGAGAAGCAAACACUGGAGCGGGGGGGUGGGGGAGGAGGGCAAAUAGUUAUGCCCAGUAGACUACUUUUGUUUAAAGUAAUUUAUCAUUGAAAUUAUCUUUAUAAUCAGAUACUAACUUCAAAAAUGGAUUACAAAAUAGAUCUGAUGUGUUUUCAUUUUAUGAGAUGUCACAGACAAAAUGUGCACUGCCAUUGGCUGCUGGAGUCAUUGGUGUUAAAAAGAACAAAUGUGUUUGUGAUCUGUGGGCAAAGUUUCCUAAUAACUGUCUGUGGACACAUCCUCUGCUGCCAGUCAAGCAUGAUUCUCUAACAAAGGCUGUGGGUGCCAGCCAAUGUAGCCUUGACUACAGUAGGAAUAAUGGAAACUAUAGUUCCACAUCACUGGUAGCAAUGGUGGAGGCUGCAGUGUAGACAGAACACGGGUGUUUUUAAACUACCUCUGAACAGGGUUAGAUGAUACAGUAGUAAAAUUAUGUUCUCGUUAUUAUGACUGCCACCACAGGCAGCCUGGGUUGAGCUGAGUCAGUGAAGAAAAAUUCUUAAAAUUUUUCCCAGUGUAGAGGUAUUCUGUAUGUGCCCACAAAGCUCUCAGACAUAUGAGCUGCUUGGAAAUUAUUUAUCCAAGCCAUUUUCCAUGGUCACUUAGCCCAGUCUCUCCUUUGUAACAUUUCUGAGAAUUAAACUAAAAUGAUGUCAGGUAUUUGUAACAGUGAAAAUACAAGUAUCAGGGGGUA